GGGGAAUUAAAUUGACUUUCUAAGCCCUGGAAUAAGGCCGGCCUUGGGGCUUGCUCGGACCAUCAAAAGAGCAACAAGGAUGGUGUGCUGAUCCCAAGCCAAGGCCUCGAGAGUCCUUGAACACAAGAGGCCCUGAGGACUUCUGCCUGCCUUCUUAGAACCCUGCUGUAGUCCACCGUCAUGAGCAAAACCCGAGUCAGCCUACCAGACCCUCAGACACCACGUGGAGGGGGACCGAGAGCGCACCGUUCAUGGACUGGUCAGCAUCCGGCCAUGUCAUCUGAAAUCAUGGACAGAUGGCAACUAUAAAACCGCAAAUAUCCGAGCCAGAGUUUCCUUAUGUUGAAGCUUCACACCCAAAGAGAUAAACUUGGGACUAUGUCUAAUCACCUGGAUUCUUCACUCGCCUGACAAGGUGGACAAAAGGAAAGAAACACCAGGAAGAGGCAGAGAGAGAUGGCAGGUCCACCUUCAACAAAUUUCCUACGGUUUAACCAGUUCUGGUUGCCUGUGACUUGUACUGGGAGUUUCCUGAAAGAGGCACCAAUGCAGAUCGGAUGCUAGAAACUUUCCUGCAUGAUCUCCAGCUACUGAGAGCAGGAACACGUAAGGAAACCAUGAUCAUUCCGUCUUCACAGGAUGGCAGCUGUGCAGCAGAGUUCUGCAGAGUCCUGUGCAUUGUGAAAACGUAUACUGAAGACGCCUCAUUAGCAAAUGUAGUUCAUCAAUACAGUGCAGGUAAGUGUUCACUCACUAUUUCAGGCGAGAGCUUGGUGAUCCCACUGCUUCCUGGAUCAUCACAGCGGCUGAGAUGCUCAGGUAAAAGCCUGUGCUAUCCUGGAAGGAAAAGCCAGUCGUUACUCACUGAGGUUUCUAAUGUAAUCAUUUUAUACUUCUUUACUGUUUAGGUCUUGUGAUUUUGUUUUGGUGCUGUUACAUAAAAGCAUCACCUGGAGGUCUUGAUUUUUAUUGCUAUGGUAGAUGCAGUUCAAACAAGAAGAAAAAAGUACUUUCCUCUAUUUCCUUCCUUCUAGGAAGCACAGCACAGCCUUGGGGGUCUGAAUUCUAAAGUUCUGCCUUUAGAGGAGUUUGCAGUUAUUUUGUGUUUCAAGAACCAAGGCGCUAAAGAAUUCCUUUCCCCAGUUUAGAAAUGCUUAGGACUUUGGGAGAAGCAACAGGAAUGUGAUUAGACAGGAGAGUGACUAGGGGGUUGAGCUUUAAGGAGAAGAUGAGGAGCAAGGCAGCAGAUGGCCCUGUUUCCAGGCCUGGGGACUGGGAAGCAAGACAGGGGACCAUGAGGGGCGGACACCUGUUAACCCCUAAAGACACAAGUGACUCCUCCUGCUUAUCACCCCAAAGACAGCAGGACCUUGGAUCAAGGGUAACUGUGUGCACACUGAGUCUUGUGGUGUUCAGAGCAACAGGAAGUGCUUCCACAGUGGAGACUGGAUUGAAAGCACAAGCUGCUGUCGGGGUAGCUCUCCAAACCCUCCUUAACAUCAGAGCCAGGCAGACAGCCACACAGGUCAGGUCAGAGCACUUCUGACGCCAACUUUAAGUCGACAACUCCAGCAACUAAGAAGCAUCCUCUUUGUAUGGCUGCAGCAACAUUCUAGUUUACUCUCAGGAAGUGGGGGGAAGAUGUGCAAAUGAAUAAUCGAUUUUCUUUAUCAUCAGAAUCUUGCUCAAAGACAGAUUUUAUUUGAUAUUUGGGGGAAGAAUAUAAGAUCCCUUUUAUUCAAGUGGCUAAGCAGUUCACACUUAAAUAACUGGAUGUUAUCUUUUAAUAUAUCCACACUGUAUGGUGUGGAUAUAAAGUCUUUUAGGAAAUACACAAAUUAAAAAUAAUUAUAAAUAAAUUAUAAAUAAUUAAAGGAGAAGUAUGUUUAGAUGCUCUGCCUUAAUUUCAGCUUAUGAGGCUUAGACAUCAUCUAUAUUCAACCUAUUGAUCUGAGGGACAAAAUUCCACUCAGCCUUAACUUUGUCAGCUGAGGGAUAACAGAAUUUUAUAUUUCCAUUCUUAUCAGUGUCUUAUUUUCCAGUUACCCUUGUGUUUUUUAAGAACUCACUGUUAAUACCUUUAGUACCCUAAGCUUAAUAGUUUCAGACUCUGUAUCUGAGUUAAGAAAUAAUGUCAUUUCUUUCACUCUCCAGUAGCUCUCCCCCAAGAAGAAAAUACAGAAAAAAACUAUCCUUUUUAGACUUGUUUCCUGUUCUUGCAGUUAAUUGAUUUGUAUGAAGGUUUUGUGUUGAGCAAUAUCCAAAUCAGGCACCUGUCUAGAAUUCAUGUUGGAUCAAGGCUCAGGUGAGCAAGUUUAGGUGUAUCAGGUGUAGUACCAAUUCAGACCACUGGGAUCAUGACUGGGUCUGUAAAAGUCAGUUUCAUCAGGUUUCCUGUUACGGUUUGAAUGGAAAAGCAAACUUAGCAAAGAUUACCCAGUGAGGGUCCCAAGGGUGCUACAGCCUUGGUGAAUUAAAUAAACUCAUUGCUAUUCAAGGUCCAGUCCUGAGCCGAGGAGCCUUAGAAAAGUAAUCAAUCGGAACAGCAAGAGUAGAUCUUUCUCUCUGGAAAGACUCACGGUUAACUGAAUCCCCAGUUACUAUGUAUCAUAACCAUAAUAAAUGGCAAUUUAUUACCUUAAAAUGAAACAUAAAGCAAAGAGCCAGAGCAGAUCUUCUGCUUGUUCAUUUGCUCCCCCGUAGACAAAUCUAGAAGGAAAUCCAGAUUAUUAUCAGGUAGAGACUAGACAGAUGUAGUCAAAUAAGGGGAGUACGUUGAACGAUACUAAUCGCACUAGGAGCAAGCCAUCCACCUCUGCUGGCGUCUGUCCUUGCCACUGGACUGGGCACUCCUCUGUAGACCCCCAGCUGAUGCUGGAAACAUCAGCCAGUGCGCAAGUCAUGAUCUUCUCUCUGAAUUUGUUCCCUCCUUACAUACCCUUCAGGCCUAGGGUGUAAACGCCCGGGAAGCUGCGAACUACGCAGGGUCCCUUGAUUAACUCAAGACUCCCUGACAUUUUUGCAUACAGUCCCUUUGUCUCUCUUGAGAUUGCCCAACUUGGCUAUCUCAUCCAUUUCUUCCUGGAACCCUGAGCAAUGGAAUACUUUACCUGCAUUGGGUCACAGGAACUAUCUUCAUAGGGUCUAAGUUAAUGAAACUAGGAUGGCAUUAUUAGACUGAAACCGUGGAUGCCACCGUAAAGAGUUAACACUCCAUUUUUCAAAGUGUAGGGAUUUAGGGAGAAAUGCCAAUUGCCUAAAGACAUCAAUUCUUCUUCAUCCAAACUGUAAUUAGACUUUGAAUAAUUGUCUUCUUUGACACAUAACAUCAUGUCUUUUUAACAGAAAAGAAGUCUGAGAGUGAGUGCUUUAGACUUCAGUAGAAGUAAAGAAGGGUUCUAAAUUAAGACUUGAAACCUUUCAAGGAGACAGGGGGAAGAGCCCACACUGUCUUUCUGUUAUCAGUUUUUUGCAUUACUGCUCCCAAUAAUAUUAUUACUAUUAAUAAUAACAGAUAACAAUUAUCGAAUGCCUAGUUCAAUUUAUACCAGCAAUUGUUUGGGGGUGCUUAACAUAUAUUAGCUCAGGAAAGACCCUCAACAAAUCUGGGAAGUAAGAACUGGUGUUAUCAAUGUCAUUUCAAAA
rnacentral:lncRNA from 1 species